CUUGUAAACUAGGUAAUCGCUCCUUAGUCCUUAUGGAUUAAGGAGAGGAAAGUCCGAGCACCAUCUGCCGAUGAGGCGGAAACGAUAGCGGGUAAUUCCCGUCCGCGGUGACGCGAGAGUUGCGAGCAGAGACGGCCUAAGCGAAAGUAAGGGCGAGCUAAACCCAGACCAUUGAUUUAUCAAAGGUUACAGCUUAGUUCCGAUCAGGGUUAAAAGAUCGGGAGUGAAACGGCUAAACACUUAUCGGGGUGCAAGAUCAAAGCUUACAGCUUCGGCUGUGAGUUAUAAGUAGAUCGCUUGAGUCCGGCAGUAAUGCCGAGACCAGAUAAAUGGUUACCCUCCGCUAACUAGCGGAACAGAACUCGGCUUAUUGUUUACAAGACCA
rnacentral:RNase_P_RNA from 2 species